UGAUGGUGCACAACAGAAGCAUUGUCACCCAGGAUGUCACUUGGCAGCUUGGAAAGUAAUGGGGUCUGAAGGCUAGAAAUAGACCCUGAGAACUGGGGCACACCCCAAGGAAAUCGGGGGAAAUGAGAAAUGAGUUAAUGUCUGAGAGUAAUUCCAAAUAUGGGGAUUAGAAAGAAUGGACCACAUAACCCAAGAUGGAAGAUAUACAGUUUUUUUGACUUGUAAAAUAAUGAUGAUGAUGAUGAUGAUGAUGAAUGAUGAUAGCCACCUAUGCUAAAUAACUGUAUUUAAUCUUCACAAUGAUUUUUUUUUUUGAAAAACCUAAUGUUCGCUUUGACAAAACUGGUUCAGAGCUGUAAUAAGUUGCCAAAGCCUAAUCACAAGCAGAUCCAUGAUUCUAACUCAAAUCUUUUAACUUAAAAUUUUAUGCCCACAACCUCUCCUAUCUCUGGGGAAGUGAAAUAGCCUGAGGAUCUGUCUCUAUCUUUAGGCACAACUGAAAUGAGUGACAAGACUGUUCUUUAAUAAAUGAAUGUGUAUAGGUUGAACGCCAAAAUUCCAGACAUUGCAGGGAAGCAGUUUUGAACUCUCUUUGGUGGAUUGUGUUUGUGUAAGGAACAGAAGCUUCUCUUCAGGGGUGAUCUUAUCACUACACAAUGUCAAAGAUAAAUGUAUUUUCAGCCUCUGCAUUAAACUCACCUUGCCACCUCUUUGUCUUUGUGCUCCUCACAUCAAGUGCCUCAGCAGCCUGUGAUUCUGUGUUUUUAUAAUCUCUCUGGUUUCAACCAAAAUGGAAAAAGUAGUCUUAGGUAUAUAUGAAGGAAGAAGAACAGCAUGAUCUCACCUAAGAAGGACUGAGGCUAUCCAGUAACGAAAAUCAAGAAAAACCUGCAACAGAGGCCUCAACCCUGUAUUGCGGGUGGGGUGGGAGUCUCACAGUGAGAUGGCAUCACCACUUCAUGUUGCCCAAUACCCUUGCUAAGAGUGUCUCAUAGGAAGAGUCUCUGAUAUGAACCUAAUAUUUUAUUUUCUUUGAAUUCCCUCAGAUAUAAAUUUGAGAUAAGGAUAGGUAUCUGACUGGAGUUGUAGGAAGAUUAAAUGUGAUGAUUAUGUAAGCAUUAAUCAAGUUCCUGAGUUGAAGGAGGCACUAAUAAGAGGAGACUUUUUGAAGUGAUGUACAGAUGGGGUUUCACCGUGUUAGCCAGGAUGGUCUCCAUCUCCUGACCUCAGGUGAUCCACCCACCUCAGCCUCCCAAAGUGCUGGGAUUACAGGCAUGACCCGCUGCGCCCAGCCUAUGAGGAUUAUAUUUUUAAGGUCAGAGGACAGAUUUAUUUGCUGACCAGGAUAUCAAAGAUGAGAUGUUUCCAUCUCCUUCCUGGAGACAAUCCGGCAUAAUCAAGAUAUUGUCUUUUCCAGAGGAGAGGUGGAGAGGUUUGCCAGAAAUCCCUGUAUAAAAUUAGGAUAUCCUCAUCUGAGAGUUCCUCAAUUGUGACAGAGAUUCAUGGAGUGAUUAUUAUUUACCUGGGCCCAUGUCUGCCUUGUCCUCUCCUUCUUUCUUUUAAUAUUAUUAAAUAAAUAUUUUCUAUUAUUAUGAACUCCAUGUACAGAUUUUUAUUAGCUAUAAAUAUUUCCUCAUUUACACAAACUGUAAUUUUUUGCCCACACCUAUAUAAUUUUCUGUUUUUCUCUACUACAAAUAUACAUUAAUAAACAUCAUUGUUCUUAAUUUUGUCUGUGUAUUAUAUUAUUUUUAAUAGGAUAGCUGUGCAGAUGUGAAAUUAUCUAAU
rnacentral:lncRNA from 1 species